UCGGAAUCAACCAUUUGAUAGAACAUUAAGUAUUCCGUCAUUUCGUCUGCCCUACGCUUGGCUUGAUUUUUGAGCAUUAGUUUUAGAAGUUAUUUUUUCAUUUUCGAUCGCUCGGUUUAUCCAUUAAUAAUACGAGAAUGGACAGAAGUUUGGACGAGCUUAUUAAAGAAAACCCGAAAAAAUUCAGCCUCAACAAAGGGAGGUAUCAGCCAAAGACAAACAAAAAUUCUGGAAACGCUAGUGGAGUGAAAAGAGGUGGAAUUCGCAAUAAUAAAAAAAAUAACAAUAAUUCACUGCCAGGUGUGGCCAAAAAUGGAGGAGGUCGUGUGACCAAGCAAGGCGGGAGACAGAAUGGUGCAAAACCCGUUUUUAAGGGAAAUUCUAACAAACAGAAUGUAAAGCCAACAACCAAGAAAGGUGGUCUUAUUGUUGUUGAUGCCAGAAAUAAGCUUUUGGCCAAAAAUAGGCUGAAAAUUACGGAUGCAAGAGACCGCAUUGCUGCAAUGGCAAAGAAAACUGACCUCCGCCAGAAACUUGCUUCUAAGAAACCAGAGCUUUCAAGAAAACCAGCAGCAUUGCACACAAGGCCAAACCAAGGAAUUAAAAAGUUAAUACGAGAGGUAGGAAGAUCCCACAAUCUCACUAGAACAACUAUUGGCAGAACAGUGGAAAAUGAGCUAGCCAGAUUGAAUGUUGGACCAGUCCCUCCUCAUUACAUCCCACCAAGAUAUGAGUUACUUCCUCCACCUAACUUUUAUGCUUAUCAUCAACCAGCAGCACCCAGUUAUGACCUUCACACCAUGAGUACUGCAGCAAUGGACUGUGAGCCCCCUUUGUCAGCAACCAAGCGCAUCCUAGCGACAGAAAAGCGUCUCGGACCGAGAGGUGAGGUCAAGUCGAAACCUGAGAGUGGACACAGAGUUUACGUCAGCAAUCUGCAUCCCAAAGUGACACAAGAAGACAUCGUCGAACUCUUUGGUGACGUAGGCUCCUUAGUAAGAGCGUCACUUCAACGACCCGGCGUUGCAGAAGUUGUCUAUGUUCGUCGUGAUGAUGCCUUGAGAGCCGUCGAUGUCUACCAUAAUCGACAACUGGAUGGACUCCCGAUGCACUGUAGCAUGGGAGCCAUUUUUGAACCCAGACGAGAAGCAGCUCCUGCGGCGAUGAAACCAAGGGCUCCUUUAAGCUCGGGCAAGGCUCAUAUCGCUCCAGAUAUUGGAACUAUUCACAAGGCCCUGUUUAACAAGGCAACUUCUCGCAACUCACAGAUUUUCACUGUCACUCUACCCAAGAAAGACACGUGAAUUUGUUGAUUGAAGGUAAACAAGGUUCUGGUUGACCCACUACCAACUGGUUCGUGUUUUUUUUGUUUUUUUUUGUCGUGACAGUUUUCUUUUUUUUUUUCGCACCUUGUCCAUUUCUUUUGUGCUGGACGAAGUUACUCUGAAAGAACUCCCCAAGUCAGGACUGAAUUCCACGCUUCCAUUGUCUUCGGCCGUUAUUCCCACAGGAUAGAUACUGUCCAUUAGACUGUGAUCAACUGUCGGUCUACCGUUAUCGGAUUUUGCGCCAAUCAUGUCGUCGAACCGAUAGCCCCAUAAAAUCUCG